GUCUUUUUUUUCUUUUUUAACAAAAUACGUCCAUUUCCUUUGGCCACUUUGGUUUGGCAAGGGAGGGAGACCAGAGUUCUUAGAAUGGGAAACAGCCACCAAGUAGUCAGGGUGAUGCUGCUGGGGGAGAGGUUAGCUGCCGGUCUCUGGAAAUGGUGAAGCUGGGAUUUGAGUUUAUGGAAACUGCCCUUCACUAAACACGGAUUUGGAAGAAAGGAGCUCUCUGUGGGGGAGCAGUGAGGCUGGGAGGCCUAGAAGGGCUCUUCCAGUUGUGACCUUCUCCUCUCAGCAUUGGUGAGAUGUUAUGAUUACUUAUAAUGUACUUCUAUGACUGAACUAGUAAAUGACUAGUUUGUGACUAAACCAGUAAAGUGGCUUUUUGAUUCUAGUUUUCUUAUUUUUGCUUUUGCUCUAAAAUCUACUUGUUUCUUCUUAAAAAAAAUAGGGUAUCUCUUUAUAUGUGUCCAGAAAAUUUGCCUUGCUUGGUUUUGAUAUACACAUGUGGCUGAUUUUUCUGAAAUUUGCAAUUCAGGAUCCUAGCUAUAACCCAGAAAGUCUUGAAAAGUGCAUAUUUUCAACCGAAAUAGAAUAUUCUGUGGAAAAACACCCAAGUUGCAUCACCAGAUCAUUCACGGACACAGUAAGGCCUUACAUUUUCAUGAUCCUUACUUUUUACUCAGCACUUUAAUAUAUCUUCUCUUAUUUGAAUUCCUGACAUUAAAGGAAGAAAGUUAUGGAAAGUUAGACACCUCGGUUCCUCCCUGAGAUAUAGUUGUGAUCACAAAUAGUAGGUUGAAUUUUUACUCACUUAUCUGACUAGGGCUGGGGAUGGACAUUCCUCUUUUAUAGUUUCUGAGGCCAAGCUAAAUCUCAUAUUACCAGUCUUGACCAAGAUCGUUUUUACUGUCUCUGGUCUCAGCACAGGUUAGGAAAGAAAGCAGAAAAUCUGUUUUUUGCAGCCUUAGGCAUUGCUGUUUAUUCCCAUUUCGUCCUGGUGCCAUCUGUAUUCCUGUGGAUGCAGGGGCACUGAGUAAUUCACGGGUCAUUGGCUCACUCACUGGCAGCUCGCACAGGAAAGGCUCCCGGAAGCUGUGUAGGUAGGUCUCGUAGACCUGAUAUUCUUGGGUCAAGUUAAGGGAAGGCAAGGCCAUAGAAAAUGCUGGAAUGUUGGCAGGUAAUUUUUCUCCCUCAAGUCCAGUGGUCAGGUGUUUUCUGACAUUAAUUACCAUAUCUCUAAUAGUGGUAUUAUUUUCAUAUAGAGAAUGAGCCUGUUUAAUGCCAUAGUAAUUUUGCUUACUCAUUUUUGAAGAGUUCAAAAGUCAGAAUGAUACAGGAAGUACACAUUGAGAAGUUUUACUCCUACUUGUCUCCCCGUCUAUACCUACCCCUUUAGGUGACUGUUUUAUUAGUUCCUUAAUGAUUCCUUUCAGUGCUUCUUUUAAUAUACAGAUACAGGCAAACACAACAUGUAUUCUUACUUUUACUCCUUUCUUAUCCCUUCUGUUGUGUAGAUAGAACUUGUGUAAUCAGUCCCUUGUGGAUGGCAACUGGACUUAUUUCCAGUCUUGCUGUGACAGAGAAUGCCGUGAUGAGUACACUUGUACAUGCAUUAAUUAUGUACCUGUUGCCGGUUUAUCUGAAGAGUAAAUUCCCAUAAGUGGGAUUGCUGGGUCAAGAGUAAAUGUAGUUGUAACUUUGAUUAAUAUCACCAAAUUGCCCUUCAUAGGGGGUUCGUGCCAUUUUGCAUAUCCACCAGCACAGUUUGAAAAGUUCCUCUUCUUCAUGGCCUCUUCCUCAUGGCUUUGGAUUUUCACUGGUCUGGCAGGUGAAAAAUAAUUACUCAGAUUGUUUUAAUUUGCAUUUCUCUUGCUAAGAAUGAAGCUGAGAAUAUUAUCAGGUUUGCAUUUCUUUUCCUGUAUAUGGCCUGUUUAUGCCUUUUGCUCACUUUUCUGUUCGUUAGCCUUUUUUCCCCUGGAAUUCUAGGAGCUGUUUCUAUAUUGAAGAGAUUGACUCUCUGCCUGAGAUAAAAGUCUGUUAGUUUUCGCGAUUUGUCUUUGACUUUGCUUAUGGUGUUUUUUUGUUUUAUUUUAAGUCAUGCAGAAGUUUUUUAUUUUUGUGUAAUUUUAUCAGGUUAUAUCUUUAUGGGUUAUGGGUUUUGAAUUACAGUUAAAAGUUUUUUCUUAAGUAAAUACAAAAUAAUCUGAGUCUACCUUUUAUUGUUUCCUCUAGGCUUACCAUAAUAUUGACAUCUAUGCUUUUAUUAAUGUUUUUAUUUAAAUGGUUGCUUUUAAUUUUAGGGGUGAGUUUAUUGAUGCCUUUAAAAAAUAAACAGGCUUCUGAAAAAAUUUCAUUUCUAUGAAGCAAUGGAUGAAGGUAGCUCUUGUGGAUUUCUCUGAACACCUUGAACUCACCUUCCACAACAUAUCCAGAGAUAUUUUCCUAACCCUUAUUUUGGAACUGAAAGAAGACACCAGGGUGCAGGGCUGCAUUUAAAGUUUGUAUUCCAAGAGGUGAUGUGAUUAACCUGUUUUGUUGUACAAACCAGAUUGGGCCAUUUCUAGAAUUAACAGCAUACUAUAUACAUUAAUAUGAGAACAGAUUAUCCUGUUGGGUACUUUGCACAUUGUAGGUCCUGCCUAACCUGACAUUCUCGGACUUCCUACAAUCUACUGCUGAGCUGGCUCAGACCUGUUGGAAAGGAUGGGCACAUGUUCUAUACUUAGCAGUUGAGAGCAAGUCUGUCUGUGCUUCCAGCUCGUGUGUAUGGGCCUUCCACAUUCUGCCCUGCCGGACUCAAUGCUGCCUUUGACCAUUAUUUGACUAGGAUUGUUUUGGAAAAAAUGGUGUCCAUGGGUGCAGAAAACCUUGAGAAUAUAAUACGGGCUAUUUAACAAGAAUUCUGUUACUGGCUGUUCUGAUUGAGCCGUCAUUUUAUGGUUUAUUCCUAAUUAGUCACAUGAUUGCUGUUCAGCUUUGUGAACUAUUUUUUCAUUUAGGACUGUGUUCUGUUUACGUGGAUUAGUCCUGAAAGGCAGCACCCAGCUUUGAUGUAGAUGGCACAGAAUGUCUUCAAAGUGUUUUGAAAUGAUGUGAAUGUUGUCAAAUACAUCCUCGACUACAGUUAAUGGGUGUUUCUCAUUUGAGCUGGAGUUUAUGUGCAGCAUCUUUAGAUACAUGGAAGUAGACUUAUUUGUAAGCUAGAAUUAACAUAUAAGCUAAAAACAGCAUUUUGUUUUUAUCAGUUAUCUGUGUCAUAGGAUUGAUUAUUGGAGGGUGGGAGAGGGCGGGUUGGUGUCUAUUACAUUAUGGAGGAAAGCUUGUGUGGGAACUUCUCACACGCGCGCCCUCAGACGGGACCUUCUCUCACACCGGCCCGUUGGGCCUCUUCAGAGCUUGUAGUAAUAGCUUUUAAAGGCAAGUAUUUUGCAGAGUAAUUGUUACUUGGAUUUCUGGAACAAAAUGGUACCUUGUAGGAGUAUUGUUGAUCUUUUCAGCUGAGAGGGUCACUCUGGAAUUGGCAUUUUUUCAUCUCGUAACAAGGAUCUGGUUUUGAGGGCAACCAUAGCUUUCUAGACUUGGCCGUUAGCUGAUGUCUUUGGCAGCCUCUUGAGUAGAUCACAUCUACAUUCUCUCUCUGUGACUUCUGUUGUUUUCACAGCUCUAUUUUUCUCCUAUUAUUUUUGCAUGUUCAGUUUUUAUUUAACCUUUCAGGGGUGGCAAUGAAGGUUAUCUAUAGAAGUUGAGGUUCUGGAUAGAGAAUCCCAUGUCUUCCUUUUUGAUCAGCAUUAACUUAUUUAGAAUAUUUGGUGAAUGUUACUGUGAUGGUACUCAUAGAAGAUAAUAUAUAAGUGUAGAUAAUAAUACAGGUUACCAACUGGCUUUGUAGGCACAGUGUUAACAGGAGGUGUUUAAAAAAUGGCAGUAGGACACAGGUGUUGCGAGCUCUGUAGGUUAAGGCUGAUACAUGCUAAAUGUGGUGCAUGGUUUUCUCUAAAUGCCCAGCCUAGAGACGAACCCUCAGAGGCCAUUUGGUGUCUUCUCUUCCUGCCCGGUCAUUGAGACUCCUCACCUCGCCCAGCAAGAGAUUUCUUUCCUGGGAAACUGCUAAUCUAGAAGAUCACUCUGAAGCACGAAAUAAUCACUUGGGCUGUCAUCUUCAUAGUCUGUCUCUAGAGGCCAUUUAUCAAUUAUUCACUGAUUUGUUAAUUCAGCAAAUACUUAUUUUUUGCUAGAUACUGUUCUUAGGUACUGGGUAAACAAAUUCCUGUUUUUAUGGAGCUUAUGUUCUAAUGUUGGGAGAUAAAUAAUAAACAUGUAAGCAAAUUAUUUCAAAUAAUAAAAAGCGCUGUGAAGAAAUUGAGACAGAGCACGGGAUAAAGAGUGAGGGCGUGACCAGGGCAUGUGUGAAGGGCUGGUCCAGCUAAUUGGGACAUGAAAUGCCUUCCCAGGGGCAGACAUUCCAGUGAGGCCGUAGGUGAUAAAGAGACAGCCACAUGGCUAACUGGUGGCACGAGUGCUACUGGCAGGGAAGA